rnacentral:tRNA from 1 species
GCUAGGAUAGCUCAGUUGGUAGAGUGAUGGUCUGAAAAACCAUAUGCCACCAGUUCAAAUCUGGUUCCUGGCA